rnacentral:lncRNA from 13 species
CUCAUGGGCCCUUCUGGUCAAAUGUAGUGCACUACUAGUGAAUAGGUUUUCAUUUAGUAUUCAGUUGUAUGUUAUAAAUGUUUGACUCAAACCUCUGUUGUCAGGGUCCUUUUGGCUAUCCUGGUGAGAAGGGAGAGAAUGGAAUUCUGGGGUAUCCAGGGGGACGGGUAAGCUCCUCCCCUCCUUCUAUGUCAGAUUAUCUGCUACCACCUCAGAGUCCCCAUUAUCUGUCCUUCCUCCCAAAGUGUGCACUUUUUUUCCUUCCCUUCACUGAUUUGAAAGAAAAUUAUUGGUAUAAGAAAUCUGGUGUAAACUCCCUCUAUCCCAGGCCAAAAUCUGUAUUAUUGUUACACACCCAGAGGGAUGUUAUGCUGUUUGGGAUUCUGGACUCUGAUUCUAAACUAUUCUCUGGCGGCCAUCUUUUUUCUUCUUCUCUCUUGGCAGGGUCCUCCUGGUUUUAAUGGACCUCCCGGAUCUCCAGGAAGACCAGUAGGACACACACACACACACACACACACACACACACACACACACACACACCUAAAUUAAAUAAUUAAUUGAUUUAUAAAUGGAUGAUCAGAUGAAUGAACCAAUUAACAAAUGAACUGAUGCAUCUCUCACCCACACAGGGAUUCACAGGCAGUCCAGGGUUCCCCGGGCAACCAGGCUACAGUGGACCUAAGGGUGACCAGGGGGAACAGGGGCCUCCCGGGCCCCCCAUCUACGCAGACACACAAGGGUUGGCUGUUCAAGGAGCACCAGGUGACAAUGGUAUCGACGGCUUCCCCGGCCAACCUGGUGACACUGGCUCUCCAGGGUUUCCAGGACAACCAGGACGACCAGGCGACUCCUUCGGCGAUGGUAACACGGAGAAACAUGCACUAUCUAGAUGCCUGCACACACACACAUGCAAACACACAAACAGGCACGCAGACACACACACACACACAUGCUUACAGGCAGACACACACACAUGCAUACAGGCACGCAAACAUACACAGACACACAAGCACACACAAACACCUCUGAUUUCCACAAGACACAAAACUAAUACCGGCGAGAUUAAGUCAAACCUUCUUCUGUUCCAUUUUGUACCCCGCCCUCUUUUCUCUCUUCUGUUGUCUUUUCUUCCAUCCCUACUCCUCUCCUGUCAUCUCCUCCCUCCUCCUCUCUUCUCUCCUCUCUCCUCUCUCCUCCCCUCUCUCCUCCUCUCUCCUCCUCUCCUGUCAUCUCCUCCCUCCUCCUCUCUUCUCUCCUCUCUCCUCCUCUCUCCUCUCCUCUCUCCUCCUCUCU